CACACCACAACCUGCAGCCCGGGACGCCGAGCUCAGACCGAGUACUGAAGACGGUCGACGGGCUGACCAUACGCUCCCCUGGGAAUCAGCAGGGCGUCUCACAUCUCCUGUCGCUCCAUAUUGACCGGCAUCCCGUCCAGGGGACAGAUGGAUCGUCUCUGCCUGUCCCUCCAUCAGCGUCACUGAAAGGAGCUCUACGUGAUGAUGCCUCCUCCUCCUCCUCCUCCUCCUCCUCCUCCUC